CCCCUAGAUGUUCUGGGCCGCACGCGCGCUACACUGAACAGUUCAACAAGUCUUAACCUUGGCCGAUAGGUCUGGGUAAUCUUUGAACGCUGUUCGUGAUUGGGAUAGACCUUUGCAAUUAUGGGUCUUCAACGAGGCAUUCCUAGUAAACGCAAGUCAUCAGCUUGCAUUGAUUACGUCCCUGCCCUUUGUACACACCGCCCGUCGCACCUACCGAUUGAAUGGUCCGGUGAAAUCUCGGGACGGCGGCUUGGUCGCUUGCGUCCGACUGCUGAAACUUGAUUAAACCAUAUCAUUUAGAGGAAGGUGAAGUCGUAACA
rnacentral:rRNA from 1 species